rnacentral:rRNA from 1 species
GACGAACGCUGGCGGCGUGCCUAAUACAUGCAAGUCGAGCGGAGAUAAUGGAGCUUGCUCCAUUAUCUUAGCGGCGGACGGGUGAGUAACACGUGGGCAACCUGCCCUGCAGAUCGGGAUAACUCCGGGAAACCGGUGCUAAUACCGAAUAGUUUGCGGCCUCUCAUGAGGCUGCACGGAAAGACGGUUUCGGCUGUCACUGCAGGAUGGGCCCGCGGCGCAUUAGCUAGUUGGUGAGGUAACGGCUCACCAAGGCCACGAUGCGUAGCCGACCUGAGAGGGUGAUCGGCCACACUGGGACUGAGACACGGCCCAGACUCCUACGGGAGGCAGCAGUAGGGAAUCUUCCGCAAUGGACGAAAGUCUGACGGAGCAACGCCGCGUGAGUGAAGAAGGUUUUCGGAUCGUAAAACUCUGUUGUGAGGGAAGAACAAGUACCAAGUAACUACUGGUACCUUGACGGUACCUCACCAGAAAGCCACGGCUAACUACGUGCCAGCAGCCGCGGUAAUACGUAGGUGGCAAGCGUUGUCCGGAAUUAUUGGGCGUAAAGCGCGCGCAGGCGGUCCUUUAAGUCUGAUGUGAAAGCCCACGGCUCAA